rnacentral:rRNA from 1 species
GAUGAACGCUGGCGGCGUGCCUAACACAUGCAAGUCGAACGGAGAUUUAACGCUGAUGAAGCUUCGGCAGAUUCUUGUUAAAUCUUAGUGGCGGACGGGUGAGUAACGCGUGGGCAACCUGCCUCAUACUGGGGGAUAACAGCUGGAAACGACUGUUAAUACCGCAUAAGCGCACGGUAUCGCAUGAUACAGUGUGAAAAACUCCGGUGGUAUGAGAUGGGCCCGCGUCAGAUUAGCCAGUUGGCAGGGUAACGGCCUACCAAAGCGACGAUCUGUAGCCGGCCUGAGAGGGCGGACGGCCACAUUGGGACUGAGACACGGCCCAAACUCCUACGGGAGGCAGCAGUGGGGGAUAUUGCACAAUGGAGGAAACUCUGAUGCAGCGACGCCGCGUGAGUGAAGAAGUAUUUCGGUAUGUAAAGCUCUAUCAGCAGGGAAGAAAGACUCGUAAGAGAGAUGACAG